rnacentral:pre_miRNA from 2 species
UCGAGGAGCUCACAGUCUAGUAUGUCUCCUCCCUACUAGACUGAGGCUCCUUGAGG